CCUACGGGCGGCAGCAGUGGGGAAUAUUGCACAAUGGGGGAAACCCUGAUGCAGCGACGCCGCGUGAGUGAAGAAGUAUUUCGGUACGUAAAGCUCUAUCAGCAGGGAAGAAAAUGACGGUACCUGACUAAGAAGCCCCGGCUAACUACGUGCCAGCAGCCGCGGUAAUACGUAGGGGGCAAGCGUUAUCCGGAUUUACUGGGUGUAAAGGGAGCGUAGACGGCAGCGCAAGUCUGGAGUGAAAUCCCAUGGCUUAACCAUGGAACUGCUUUGGAAACUGUGCAGCUAGAGUGCAGGAGAGGUAAGCGGAAUUCCUAGUGUAGCGGUGAAAUGCGUAGAUAUUAGGAGGAACACCAGUGGCGAAGGCGGCUUACUGGACUGUAACUGACGUUGAGGCUCGAAGGCGUGGGGAGCAAACAGGAUUAGAUACCCCUGUAGUC
rnacentral:rRNA from 1 species